rnacentral:rRNA from 1 species
GACGAACGCUGGCGGCGUGCCUAAUACAUGCAAGUAGAACGCUGAAGGAGGAGCUUGCUUCUCUGGAUGAGUUGCGAACGGGUGAGUAACGCGUAGGUAACCUGCCUGGUAGCGGGGGAUAACUAUUGGAAACGAUAGCUAAUACCGCAUAAUAGUAGAUGUUGCAUGACAUUUGCUUAAAAGGUGCAAUUGCAUCACUACCAGAUGGACCUGCGUUGUAUUAGCUAGUUGGUGGGGUAACGGCUCACCAAGGCGACGAUACAUAGCCGACCUGAGAGGGUGAUCGGCCACACUGGGACUGAGACACGGCCCAGACUCCUACGGGAGGCAGCAGUAGGGAAUCUUCGGCAAUGGACGGAAGUCUUACCGAGCAACGCCGCGUGAGUGAAGAAGGUUUUCGGAUCGUAAAGCUCUGUUGUAAGAGAAGAACGAGUGUGAGAGUGGAAAGUUCACACUGUGACGGUAUCUUACCAGAAAGGGACGGCUAACUACGUG